CUCUCUGUUUACGUCAGAAUUCUGAUUUUCUUUGGAGACACUGGGUCAUAUGGACAGUUUAUUGAAAAAUUUGUUUUACCUCCUUUAUGAUCUUUUCCGUUUAAUCAAAGCCUGUCAUUUAUUGAUGAUGGUCGCCGAGUCCAGAAGUCUAACUUCCUCUCUUCUGUCCGAGAGCUUUACAUGAAAUAAGAUGAAGAUAAAAACCCAGAGAGAGUCAUGGAUGUUGUUGGUAUCUAAACAGAAGAGGAAGCUAAUUUCUUCGUGAUGAUAACAGUUUGCUUGUUGUGAACCAGGUCACCACAGAAGCCACAGACAUCGCAGCCACUCCAAAACUCCAGAGAGGAGCUCAAGAAAGGAUCACAAGAAGAGCCGAAGAGGAAACGACUGAUCUCAUUGUGGCAUUUUUUACUUUAUUUUUUUAUUUUACCUCCUAAACUGUUGAAGAUCUGGCCCCUAAACCCUCAAACCACAACCUGAACCUUUUCAGAAGCUUGUCGUCGUUGCUGAUGAACUCUGGACGAGUGUAAAUAGAGAAAAUGUGUUUCUUUGUGAACCGAUUGUUAAACUCUGAAAUAAAACCUCUGAUUUUA